UGCCUGAGCCCUUCUGAGUAU
rnacentral:miRNA from 1 species